rnacentral:rRNA from 1 species
CCUACGGGAGGCAGCAGCCGCGGUAAUAGCUCCUACGGGAGGCAGCAGUGAGGAAUAUUGGACAAUGGCCGGAAGGCUGAUCCAGCCAUGCCGCGUGCGGGAGGACGGCCCUAUGGGUUGUAAACCGCUUUUGCGGGGGAGCAAUAAGGUCCACGUGUGGGCCGAUGAGAGUACCCCGCGAAUAAGCAUCGGCUAACUCCGUGCCAGCAGCCGCGGUAAUA